rnacentral:misc_RNA from 1 species
GAGUACCGAUACGAACACCUCCAGGGGCCAAAGCACUGCUGUCACCAAAUACAGCGUUCUUGUUAACAGUAAUGUUGGCAAGGUCACAAAGCUUCUCCACUUUGUUACCAGUCAAACCGAGAGGACGAAGAUCCCAAAGAACAAGGUGGUUCUCAGUUCCGCUAGUGACAAGCUUGUAGUCUUUACUCAUCAAAAACUUGCCAAGAGCAACAGCAUUGGCCUUAACUUGCUUAGCAUAGGCCUUAAAACCGGGAGUCAUGGACUGUUUCAGAGCCACAGCUAAAGCACCG